UUUAAAAAAAAGCGUUUAUUUCAUCACAGCAUAUCAUCUUAAUCGUAGAUUUUACCACCAAAAGGAGAUGUCAUACAAAGGAGAUUAUUAUCUAAAGACGAUUAUUCAAAAUCGGAAAAUAAACUGUCACUAUACUGUCUUCUGUUUUAAGUCAAAACAUUUAAAGCUUUUGCCUGUUUGUCGAGAAAUAAGACACUGGAUGUAAACGUUGCCUUAAAGUGAGGCAAUAACACAGUUUGAAAUAAAAUAAAGAAGGUGGGAAUGAAGAUAAGAAUUUGAAGCAACAAGAAUUUUUUAUUACAUUUUUCAAGUUUUUUUCAUUGUACUAAAGCACAUAAUAUGGCAAACUUGAAGAUACUUUUGACUGCUGUUUAUUUUUUCAAACUCGCAAAAAAACGUUUUUAUUUGUUACCGGUUAGUCGCCUAAUGUUGUUCAGUCGUACAGCUGAACACUGGCUCUAAGAAAUGUGCACAUAAAAAUACCUAUUUUCUCUCCUCCUAUUUUACCAUUCUGUACCAUUUAUACCUUGAGUGUGUUACAAAAGUAAAUCUAUAGGGUAUAGACAUCUGCUGAUGAGGCCUCAUUUUUAACCUAUGCGCUAACAGCCCUUCAAAACCACAGCAAUAAAUAAAUAAAAAACAAACGUAUAUUUUAUAUAACGUGUAACCGAGUGGUAAGGUGGGGUUGUAUGGUGACAACAACAGUUCAACACUCGAACCAAAAAGGCAGGAACAGUCAGCAGGUGUGCGACCCUUUAUUUCUCGUACGAUGGUCACGGCUGCGUCGAUCGCCCGAGGCGCUAGAGGUCGGAGCUGUCUCUUCUUCGUUCGUGUAGCUGUGCGCGCUGUCUCCGCCGACUCUGUUCUGUCCUUUUCGUCUCAGCUCUGCCCUUAUAUACCUCUGGGAAGGGGUAAACUUUUCGAUGCUCUGAUACGGUCGGAACAAUACGCCGUUUUACCCUAGCCAAUCACCGCUAUUUGCCAUCUCUCACCAUGCCCUAGCAGAUCCCGCCAAAACUAACAACAAUGCUGGCGUACAGGCCCACUACAAACGUAUGAUCACGCUCGUGAAGGAGCAUACUCUCGGCUAUUGAGACAAGAACGAGACAUGGACAGCAUAGGAAGAACAGAAAGAUUAAGCAACAUAAGUAAUAAAAGACAAACAUAGGAGACACGUCGAGGAAUCGAACAAAAAACAGUAAGAGUUACCUAAAUCUGCAGAAGAAGACGAGAGGCAGACAAGUCUAUAGACGACAAAAAAAAACAAAAAACAAAAAAAAAAAACAAAAAACAAAACAAAACAAGAAAGUUCAUUGCAAACCUUUUCUUUAAGUAAUAUUCAAUUUAAUUAUUUUUUUUUCUUCUGCAGGGCUACUAUAGCGUAUGUGGGAUGCCUUACGUCAUGUGGAGAAGAUACGACAUCGUAUUUAAAACAGCUAAAGGAAGCUUUGGACGCCUUGGGAUUUACCUGUGAUCUCCCUAAACCAGAUACUGGUUCCGGUUCCGGUUCAGUCUCAGGUUCAAGUCUCCCAUGCGGUCUUCUUAUUGUCCUUGAUGCACUGCUUCUUGCUGCUUACAAAAUCUUCGACUUUUAAUUAUCUGUCACUUAAAGUUUAACCUGCUCUUAAACUGUAACAUGUAUAACGUGUAAUUAUUAACGUUUCUGGAGAUAAGAAACCAUCUAGUACUCCAUUGUAUAUUUAAUAAUGUAAUGAAACUAGUAAAAUAAUUGUAGAAGCUAUUAAAGACAGCAUAUUGAGAGGGGGUAAGUGUUGAAUGACUUGAUAUAUGCUUAAUAGUCAGCAUAAAAAUUUAUAAACAUUCAUUUCAAAAACAAGUAAUGUGCGACAAACAGAUAUAAUAACAGCAACAGAGAGCUGUAAGUUAAAUACAAAUUUAGAGACAGUUUGUAGUUGCUAGUACAUGGCGUCCAUUGCCUCAUGCGUAGUUUCAAAACCGAAGGUACACUCCAGGAUGUGCAGACCAACGACUGAAGCCAGUAACUGCUGAGGGAAUAAUAUUGAUGAUGUUUAUUAUACUUCAGAGAUUGUUUUAAAAUAGUAACUACUUUAAGACUUGAACAGGUGUUGCUUCAAGAUGAAAUAAAAAAAUUGAUGUACAUCUCACUUAUAAAAGACUUAACAUCUGGAAACAGCAGGUUAUAUGGAAACAUUCUUCUUAAUAAAAGUGUUUUAAGUGA